UUGAACGCUGGCGGCAUGCUUUACACAUGCAAGUCGGACGGCAGCGCGGGCUUCGGCCUGGCGGCGAGUGGCGAACGGGGGAGUAAUACAUCGGAACGUGCCCAGUAGUGGGGGAUAGCUCGGCGAAAGCCGGAUUAAUACCGCAUACGACGUGAGGGUGACAGCGGGGGAUCUUCGGACCUCGCGCUAUUGGAGCGGCCGAUGGCGGAUUAGCUAGUUGGUGGGGUAAAGGCCUACCAAGGCGACGAUCUGUAGCUGGUCUGAGAGGACGACCAGCCACACUGGGACUGAGACACGGCCCAGACUCCUACGGGAGGCAGCAGUGGGGAAUGUUGGACAAUGGGCGAAAGCCUGAUCCAGCAAUGCCGCGUGUGUGAUGAAGGCCUUCGGGUUGUAAAGCACUUUUGGCGGGAACGAAAAGGAUUGUGCCAAUACCACGGUUCGAUGACGGUACCCGCAGAAUAAGCACCGGCUAACUACGUG
rnacentral:rRNA from 1 species